UACAGAGGUCCCAAGCGUUGUUCGGAUUCACUGGGCGUAAAGGGUGCGUAGGUGGUCAGGUAAGUCUGAUGUGAAAUCUCUGGGCUCAACCCAGAAACUGCAUUGGAUACUAUCUGGCUAGAGGAGUGGAGGGGGGACUGGAAUACUUGGUGUAGCAGUGAAAUGCGUAGAUAUCGGAAGGAACACCAGUGGCGAAAGCGGCUUCCUGGUCCAGCACCGACGUUCAGGCACGAAAGCGUGGGGAGCAAACAGG
rnacentral:rRNA from 1 species